UACGGAGGGUGCAAGCGUUAUCCGGAUUCACUGGGUUUAAAGGGUGCGUAGGUGGGUUGGUAAGUCAGUGGUGAAAUCUCCGUGCUUAACAUGGAAACUGCCAUUGAUACUACUGAUCUUGAAUUUUCAGGAGGUAAGCGGAAUAUGUCAUGUAGCGGUGAAAUGCUUAGAUAUGACAUAGAACACCAAUUGCGAAGGCAGCUUACUACAGGAAUAUUGACACUGAUGCACGAAAGCGUGGGGGAUCAAACAGG
rnacentral:rRNA from 1 species